rnacentral:rRNA from 1 species
UACGUAGGGGGCAAGCGUUGUUCGGAAUUACUGGGCGUAAAGGGCGCGUAGGCGGCACGACAAGUCGGGAGUGAAAGCCCGGGGCUCAACCCCGGAAUGUCUCUCGAAACUGUCGAGCUAGAGUGCAGAAGAGGCAACUGGAAUUCCCAGUGUAGCGGUGAAAUGCGUAGAUAUUGGGAAGAACACCUGCGGCGAAGGCGGGUUGCUGGGCUGAUACUGACGCUGAGGCGCGAAAGCCAGGGGAGCGAACGGG